rnacentral:rRNA from 1 species
AUGGCGGCUGCUAUGACAUCAUCCACCACUACCAGCACAAGCAACGCAAAGCAGCAAACACGACUACAACUCCGCGUGACCAAGGUGACUACAGCAGGUCCUCAGCGUGGCAACGGAGCCAGCGCCGACGAUAUCGCAGCAGCGGCGAUGUUGCGACCCAGACAAGCACAACAUCAUCGAGGCGGCAGCACUGCCAUAGUAUUGCAUCCCUUGCCAUGCAGCAGCGCCGUCGUCAGUGGCUCCAUUGACGCUUCAUUGCGGCGCCCCGUCCUCGGCUUGCCGCGUCGUUGGCAGCAACGCUCACUUCAUUGCAUCACUGGUGGCGAGUGUCGCCUUCCUCGACUUGCCGCGCCGCCCGCAGCAGCACCUGCUCCAUUGCAAUGCCGUCGGCAUCAAUGCUCGCUUCAUUGCAGCACCGGUGGCGAGCGUCGCCGUCCUCAACUUGCCACGCCGCCGGCAGUAGCGCCCGCUCUUCAUUGCAGCCCUGACGGAGCUCCAUUGCAGCUCCGGCCGCCGUGGUGCCGGGCUCCAUCGCAGCCCAGGCAGAGCUCCAUUGCAGCUCCGGGUGCCGUGGUGCCGGGCUCCAUUGUAGCCCCGGCCGCCGACGCCCACAGUAUCCCCGUCGUCAGCUGA